rnacentral:rRNA from 1 species
GACGAACGCUGGCGGCGUGCCUAAUACAUGCAAGUAGAACGCAGUUGCGAACGGGUGCGUAACUCGUAGGUAACUGCUUCCUAGCGGGGGAUAACUAUUGUAUACGAUAGCUAAUACCGCAUCCUGUGAUAUUCACCUGCGUUUUAUUAGCUAGUUGGUGAGGUAAAGGCUCAACAAGGCGACGAUACAUAGCCGAGCUGAGAGGGUGAAUGGCCAAAAUGGGACUGGGGAACGGGCCAGAAUCCGACGGGGAGGAGCAGGAGGGAAACUUCGGAAAUGGACGGAAGUCUGACCGAGCAAAGCCGGGGGAGUGAAGAAGGUUUGCGGGUCGUAAAGCUAUGUUGUUAGAGAAGCGGUAACUAAACAGAAAGGGACGGCUAACUACGUGCCAGCAGCCGCGGUAAGUC